CUCCGACCUGCGCACAACGCGGGACGCCGAGGCGCGCGCGGGGUGCGGAGGCCGCAGGUUUGCUUCCCCACCAGUAAAAUGAGGUAAUGAUGUGAAAUCGAUCACGUUGUUGAAGAGUUGAAAUGAGAGAUUGUGCAUCAGAAUCCAGCUCAGGUCCCUGCCUGUGGAAGGAGAGAUUGUGGAAAAGUAAAACAACAAAGAGGCGUGGUAUUGCUCCUGAAACUUGGAACUGGAGAGGAGGCAAGAUGCUGGCAUAGCUGUUGAACUGAGAACCUGCUAUGCCAACAUAUUGCCAUCUUUCCUGUCUGACAGCAGCUUGGCCACCUCCAUGCCAUUCCUCCGUGUCCUGCUACAAGCAGUACGUGAUGUGUAGGGGUUCUGCGACUUGGUCCGCCUCACCCUGACUUCUCUCCAACCGUGUGCCGAGUCACUCACUCCAUUCUACCUGCACUGGCCCAAAAGAACUCUGUUCUAGGACAAACCAGGAAUGUUCCUGCCUCUUCUUACCUGCCUUUGAUCAUCAUUUGGGUGUCAGUGGAGAACUCUUUCCACCAUGGCACUAUCUGUAAAACCUUCCAUGUACCCAGCCACCGUUCACCUCAUGACCCUGCUCUGACUUUUCAGAAACAUUGGGCACUACCUGCACAUUGUCUGCAUGGUUGCUGCUUUAUUUCCUGAACCAGAUUAUAAAUCCUUUAAGGGAUGCCAGGCUUCACUUCCCAUUCAAUGUAGCCUUAGACCCUGACAUUUGUAAGUCCUCAAGUCUUGUCUUUGAAACUCUACCAUGAACUUAUUGUGCAAUAGAGGUGUCAAAUAAUUAGAUUUGACCAUGUUAUGAAUGGCUCUGAUGAAACACUGGUUUAUGAGUAACAAAGAAUAAACAAAUGACAUUGAUUUCUAAACCUGCAAUCCCAACAUCUUAAAGGAACCACAAUAAAGUUACCAUCGAGUCUACCAACUCAGAGAAGACAAAAUAUUGUACUGAAAAGACAUUAUAUUUAAAAUAAAAGCUAC